rnacentral:rRNA from 1 species
UACCAGCACCCCGAGUGGUCGGGACGUUUAUUGGGCCUAAAGCAUCCGUAGCCGGUUCUACAAGUCUUCCGUUAAAUCCACCUGCUUAACAGAUGGGCUGCGGAAGAUACUAUAGAGCUAGGAGGCGGGAGAGGCAAGCGGUACUCGAUGGGUAGGGGUAAAAUCCGUUGAUCCAUUGAAGAACACCGGUGGCGAAGGCGGCCCACUGGCUCGACACUGACGCUGAGGUGCGAAAGCGUGGGGAGCAAACAGG